UUUUUUCACUCCAUCGCUAUGUCCUACAGGUGUGUUAAGUAUCACCUUGAUAGAGAAAGAAAUCCUAGUCGCGGUUAGGUGAUCGAUGUUGUCUUCGCAUAUACAAGAUUCUCGGUUUAGAGUGAUAAGUGGCUAGGGUCAGACCAUUAGAAGUGGUUUUAAAUAUCCAUUAGAAGCGGAUAGAAGGUCAAACCAUCUUGAGGACUCUAGAUCCAAUAAGAGAGUAUUGUAUUCAUUUGAAAGAUUGUUUGUAAAACAUUGUUCAAAUAGUGAAUAAAAAUCUCCAAAAAUCAG